UUUUUUUCUAUGCCUCGGCGCCUCUAUGGAUGUCAUAUUUAGAUCAGAUGCAGUCUGAGCCUUGUUCUGAAUUUCAAAAUCCCCUUUGACAACACCUGCACAGCUGAGAAAUCAAGGACCUUCUGACCAAGGGCUGAAUUAUAGUGAACACUGCCAUUCAGAGACUUUGAAACAGAUUGAUGAAUCAACUACAUGCAUUAUGUCAGAGGAAUCUAGCUGGAGCACCUAUUUAGCAGCCAGGACAC